AUGUUUAUGAAAAUAAUUUCAGCCCAAAUUGUUUCUACUCAAAGCCCUAAUUCUCACACUAUAUAUACAUUCAUUACACUGACAAAGAGGAGGACUGUUUAUUCAGACACUGAAAAUUAUACAAAACUCAGAGUACAUAGAAAAAAGAAACCUCACCUGACUCUCGCCGUAAUUUUUCGCUGGAAACUGACCGAAAAAUCCAGAACCGCCGUGCCUGACCCCUAG